rnacentral:piRNA from 1 species
UCUGGACCUUGGCACCUGCCAGAAAUGGUAGU